AAUGAACGCUGGCGGCAGGCCUAACACAUGCAAGUCGAACGAGUGGCGGACGGGCGAGCAAUGUCUGGGAAACUGCCUGAUGGAGGGGGACAACUACUGGAAACGGUAGCUAAUACCGCAUACUACUGGAUCUGCCGAGUUGGGAUUAGCUAGUAGGUGGGGUAAAGGCUCACCUAGGCGACGAUCCAUAGCUGGUCUGAGAGGCUGACCGGCCACACGGGAACUGAGACACGGGCCAGACUCCUACGGGAGGCAGCAGUGGGGAAUAUUGCUCAAUGGGCGCAAGCCUGAUGCAGCCAUGCCGCGUGUAUGAAGAAGGCCUUCGGGUUGUAAAGUUCUUUCAGCAGGGAGGCGUUACCCGCAGAAGAAGCUCCGGCUAACUCCGUGCCAGCAGCCGCGGUAAUAC
rnacentral:rRNA from 1 species